rnacentral:rRNA from 1 species
CCUACGGGAGGCAGCAGCUAAGAAUAUUCCGCAAUGGACGAAAGUCUGACGGAGCGACGCCGCGUGGAUGAAGAAGGCCGAAAGGUUGUAAAGUUCUUUUGUUGGGGAAGAAUAACCAUGGGAGGGAAUGCCCGUGGGAUGACAUGAACCGACGAAUAAGCCCCGGCUAACUACGUGCCAGCAGCCGCGGUAACACGUAGGGGGCGAGCGUUGUUCGGAAUUACUGGGCGUAAAGGGCAUGUAGGCGGUCUUGUAAGCUUGGCGUGAAAGACCACGGCUCAACCGUGGGAUUGCGUUGAGAACUGCGAGGCUUGAGUGACGGAGAGGGAGCUAGAAUUCCUGGUGUAGGGGUGGAAUCUGUAGAGAUCAGGAAGAAUACCAAUGGCGAAGGCAAGCUCCUGGCCGAUGACUGACGCUGAGGUGCGAAAGUGUGGGGAUCA